GUUAUACUCAGUAUUAUUCAAUAAAUUACUAAACUGACCACUAGAUGCCACUCAGGAGUACCCCACCCAUCGACCAAACACUCUCAUUUUCAAGAUGGCGCUGGAAUCCGGGGGAGAACUUCAUGACGACAGUAAUGACAUAAGAUGGCACACCCAGUAGGACGUGCUUUGAAUAAAACACUUAACCAAUUAUUGAUGUAUUAUUUCAUGUUAUCGCUGACGGUGCUUAUGAUGUAAUUGUGCUUUAUAAGGGACAUGCAAGUUAUUUCAUCAACCGGGAAACAUGUGUCUGGUGUGAUUUACUUUGGAAAGCAUACAUGCACCAUAACUAAUUUGGAAAGGG